rnacentral:ribozyme from 1 species
AGGCACAAAUUGGAGGCCACAGCAGAAGUGCUCGUGGCCCGGUCCUGUCAGAGUCCAACAAAUCUGCGAAUUCUGCU